AUUGAACGCUGGCGGCAUGCCUUACACAUGCAAGUCGAACGGCAGCGGGGACUUCGGUCCGCCGGCGAGUGGCGAACGGGUGAGUAAUAUAUCGGAACGUACCUUUCAGUGGGGGAUAACGUAGCGAAAGUUACGCUAAUACCGCAUAUUCUGUGAGCAGGAAAGCAGGGGAUCGCAAGACCUUGCGCUGAUUGAGCGGCCGAUAUCAGAUUAGCUAGUUGGUGAGGUAAAGGCUCACCAAGGCGACGAUCUGUAGCGGGUCUGAGAGGAUGAUCCGCCACACUGGAACUGAGACACGGUCCAGACUCCUACGGGAGGCAGCAGUGGGGAAUUUUGGACAAUGGGGGCAACCCUGAUCCAGCCAUGCCGCGUGAGUGAAGAAGGCCUC
rnacentral:rRNA from 1 species